GUGAGGAAUAUUGGUCAAUGGGCGCAAGCCUGAACCAGCCAUCCCGCGUGCAGGAAGACGGCGCUAUGCGUUGUAAACUGCUUUUCCAGGGAGAGAAACUUGCGCACGUGUUGCGCAAUUGACGGUACCCUGGGAAUAAGCAUCGGCUAACUCCGUGCCAGCAGCCGCGGUAAUACGGAGGAUGCGAGCGUUAUCCGGAUUCAUUGGGUUUAAAGGGUGCGUAGGCGGACUAUUAAGUCAGUGGUGAAAUCCUGCAGCUUAACUGCAGAACUGCCAUUGAUACUGAUAGCCUUGAGUUUGGUUAAGGUAGGCGGAAUGUGUAAUGUAGCGGUGAAAUGCUUAGAUAUUACACAGAACACCAAUUGCGAAGGCAGCUUACUGGUCCAUUAUUGACGCUGAGGCACGAAAGCGUGGGGAUCGAACAGGAUUAGAAACCCGGGUAGUCC
rnacentral:rRNA from 1 species